rnacentral:rRNA from 1 species
UACGUAGGAGGCAAGCGUUGUCCGGAAUUACUGGGGCGUAAAGGGCGCGUAGGCGGUGUGUCAAGUCAGGCGUGAAAGCCCCGGGCUCAACCUGGGAACCGCGCUUGAGACUGGCACGCUCGAGUUCGGGAGAGGAUGGUGGAAUUCCCCAGUGUAGAGGUGAAAUUCGUAGAUAUUGGGAAGAACACCGAUGGCGAAGGCAGCCAUCUGGACCGACACUGACGCUG